UGAAAUCUCAGAGAGUGCAUUUUAAACAACAAAUCUACCAUUUUUACAGUGACUCGAAGUAGAUGCAACUAACAAAGCCCCUCCCUACAAUAAAAAUAACAAGUAAAUGCAAGCUGCAUUUCUGGUCUGAAAUAAUUGAAGAAUUAUGCUUUAAAUAAACAAUCCAUCCAAAACUGCAUAAAUUGAUCUAUGAUUCUCUGCUGUAUUCCCAUGGAUAUCACCCUUUAAUUAGUGGUGAUUUUCUUUCCACUUUGAGAAGUUUCUGAUUGAUUCUGGAAAUUAUGCAGACGAGGUCCAAUGGAGAGAGGCUGCAGCCUAUUGUUCUCCAAGCUUGUUCCUCGGCAUCCUCAUUUUCAGAUAACCAAUGGGGUGGUGGCAGCUCAAAAUCCGCCCGGUCGAGAUCUUGGAAACGUACGGUAACAUUAUGGUAAUCUGCUCCUAACAUUGCCAAAGCUUCAAUUGAGACCGACAUCGGUGAUUAAUUGAAUAAUAAUUGAAGAAUACAUGUAUGCAUAAUUGGGGAGUUAUCAAAAACUUGAAAGAUGGAAUAAAAGAGUUUCCUUAUGAGGGCUCUUGGUUUUAAAUGAGCAUCAGACUUUUCAACUUGAAUUUGGCAGGGGCCGCGCGAACGCAGGCCCCCUCUACCACAAAUUAUGACGUAGGCUCGACCACUUGGGCCGACCUUAGACAGGCGCCCCUCCUAAGUGCAAUGGAGAUCACCAAUCUAGGCCAUGGGCCUUCUUGAUCACCCAUUGACC
rnacentral:lncRNA from 1 species